rnacentral:rRNA from 1 species
CCCUUAGAUGUUCUGGGCAGCACGCGCGCUACAAUGGUCUUCGCAAACGGAUGCAUUCUCGAAGGAGAAUGCCAAUCUUGGAAUCUAUGCCUUGGUCGGGACAGUUGCUUGCAAUUUUUCGACUCGAACCAGGAAUUCCUUGUAAUCGUGAUUCAUCACAUCACGAUGAAUACGUCCCUGCCCUUUGUACACACCGCCCGUCGCUCCUACCGAUCGAAGAGUUAGGUGAAUUGUUUUGAUCGAUAAGAUUUGACUAUGGUCAACUCUCGUUGUGAAAUUCUGUGAAUCUGACUGUUUAGAGGAAGGAAAAGUCGUAAC